rnacentral:lncRNA from 1 species
AAAUUUUAAACACCUGUGCCUUCCAUUGUGCCACCAGAAUCCAACACUUAUUUCUCUGAGUUUCAACCUUCUGCGGUCUCUUUCUCUUUUGUGCUCAUCGAUCUUGAACUAGCCCACUUAGGAGGCCCUUUUUUUAUCUUUCUCUAAAUAUUUUUAUAAGUUUUAUGAAGGACCUCAUUAGUGAAGAGAUUUUUUCUUCUUUUCUUUUCUACAUGCACCUCACUCUUCAUGGCUCUUAUUACCUUCAUCCACUGCAUCUGAGGAUGAAGCAAAAUCCACCAGCCUUCUUUGAUGAUAUUUCCUUCUUCUUAGGGAUUUGCAUGUUGAUUCAGUCAUC